UUUUUUUUAGGGCCUCUCUUGUGGCAUAUGGAAGUUCUCAGGCUAGGAGUCAAAUCAGUGGAAUCAGAGCUAUAGCUUCUGGACUUUGCCGCAGCCACAGCCACAGCCACACAGGAUCCAAGCUUUAUCUGUGACCUACAUCCCAGCUCGCAGCAACAUCAGAUCUUUAACACAGUGAGCAAAGCCAAAGAUCAAAACCACAUCCUCAUGGAUACUAGUUGGGUUCUUAACCCUAUGAGCCACAACUGGAACUCCUUUUUCAACAGUAUUUUAUAUUUUUGAGUCAAUACAACUGCAUGUCCUUUGUUAAAUUUAUUCCUAGGCAUUUUAUUCCUACUAAUGUUAUUGUAAAUGGAAUCAUUUUGCUAAUUCCACUUCCAGAUUGUUCAUUGAUAAUGUAUAGGAGUACAACUGAUUUUUGCAUCUUUGCGUCUUGCAAUUUUGCAGAAUUCAUUAUCAACUCCAGUAAUUUUGUAGUGUGUGACAUCUUUGGAAUUUUCUAUACAUAAGGUCAUGCCAUCUGCCAGAGAGAGUUUUGCUUCUUUCUUUAUAAUCUGGUUGUCUAUUAUUUCCUUUUCUUGUCUAACUAGCUAGAACUUGCUCUACAGUGUUGACUAAAAUAGGUAAAAGUGGAUUUACUUGUCUUUUUCCUGAUCUUAGGGGGAAAGCUUUCAGUAUUAAGUAUGUUAUUACCUGUGAGUUUUCAUAGAUGCUCUUUGUAAAACUGAGGAAUUUCCCUUCUAUUCCUAUUUUGUUGAGUAUUUUUAUCAGGAAGACAUGUUUUAUUUUUGUCAAUGUUUUCUACAUCUAUUGAGAUGAUCAUGUGUCGAAUUUUUUUACCCUUUAUGCUAUUGUUGUGGUGUACCACACUGGUUGAUUAAGUUUAACCAAUCUUCUAUUCCUUGGGCAAAUCCCACUUGUCCAUGGUACAUAAUCCUUCUUCUAUAUUGCUAGAUUCAGUUUGCUAGUAUUUUGCUGAGGAUUUUUGCAUCUACUUUCAAAAGAAAUAUUGGUGUGUAGUUUUUUUUUUUUCUUGUGAUAACUUUGUCUGGCUUUGAUAUCAGAAUAAUACCAGCCUCACAGAGGGACUUUGGUUUUGAUUUUAAUUUUACUAUUCAUCACGUUUAAAUUCGAGGUAGUCACUCAACUUAAAGCUUGGAUUCCUCAGCUCCAGAUUAAUAAUAACUUCGUACAUACAAAUGGUUGUGAGGGUUAAAUGAAUUUAUUAUGCAUGCUUUGUAAACUGUCACUCACAGUAUUUAUAUCACACUAUAGGUGUUGGUUUGGGUGUUGAGAAUAAUAGCAGCAAUCAGGGUUGGGGUAGAAUUAGACACCUAUGCAAUUUAACUAAGAUUACUCUACUUUAUCUCUCUUAGUCUUUAUUAUAGCUUGUAUAAAAUGAGUCACAAUCAUUCCAAUUGUAUUACGAUAGCCACGUUAGUAAUAGUAAUAUAACUAUAAUGAUAUAAUGACAUCAGUGGGUGUGUGCAUAUAUAUAUAUAUAAUACUACAUAUAUUGAAUGCACACUGCCUCAAGAACUUGACACAUAUUGCCUUAUUUCAUCCUCAUAAUGCCAGAUGAAGCUGUGAUUAUCUUUCCUCAUUUUCUUUUUUUGCCUUUUGUCUUUUAGGGGCCACACUCAUGGCAUAUGGAGGUUUCCAGGUUAGGGGUAGAAUCAGAGCUGUAGCUGCUGGCCUAUGACACCAUGACCAAUCAGCUCGGGAUCCGAGCUACGUCUGUGACCUACACCACAGCUCACAGCAAUGCCAGAGCCUUAACCCACAGAGCAAGGCCAGUGAUUGAACCCGUGUCCUCAUGGAUACUAGCUGGGAUCAUUAACCACUGAACCACAACAGGAACACCUCUUUCCUCAUUUUCUAAGUAAGGACGGUGUCUGAAGUUUGGAUUGAACUUGUUCAAGGUCACACAGCUCUGAAGUCACAGAAAAUCAGUCAAAUCUGUGACAGUAAUACUCAUAAAAUUAGUUUUCACUCUUGUUCAAGAGUUGCUCUCAUGUUUAUAUAAGUAAGAUGAAUCAAAAUUUUUUUCAAAACUAUAUAUAUAUUUUAUGAAAUACCAAUGGAUUUAAGUUAAAAUAAGAAGAACUCUAUUUUUUUCUAUUACCUUGAAAACUAACUUAUUUACAAAAUUUUUUCCUAUAGCGCUGGAAUAAAUUAACAUUACGCAUGCUGAAAAUGUCUAACCACCACCCUCGCACAUCUCUGCAGUGAAUAGCUCAUAGGCCUUGGCAAUUCAGACAAGUGUUUCUGAGAUAAAACACUAUACAUUUAUAGAAAACAUUUAACAUCAGUGGCUGAAUGUCUCCCGCUAAAGCCCAAAACAUAACAAUUAUCUUUUUUUUUAAGAUCUCUCAUAAUGAGGUGAAUUUGGAUUGAUUUAAACAUCCUUGACUGCCUCUUGUGCUUACAUGUAGAACAUUAUUUAAAUAAAAUUUGGAAAUUAUAAAAGAAUCAGAGUCCUAAAAUAUUUCUGUUCCCUACUGGGUUUAUUUGGUAUUUCACAUAAAACGUAGGGACAAAACUUCGAAAUUUGGUAGAGGCAAAUCAGAAACAAACGAGAAACAACACCACUGUAACCUAGCAGUAAAACCAUGGUUUGAUUUAAUAGGUUUAAACAUACAGUAUUAAAUCAAUAAUUUAAUGUAUUGCCAGUAGAUUGCGAGUGAGCUGACAAGUAUGUUUUGGGAUUGCAUUCUUGACCCUGAGGUUGACCUGAGGGAGAUGUCAUGACUAGUGAUGAUCCUUGGUGUCUCCAUCAAAGACAGGGUCCUUAUUAGAUUACAUUAUUUUGUAUUUUGAAUGAAAGUGCUCAGAAUUGAAAAAUAUAAAGUUUAGUAAAGUGCCACAUUGAAGUGUUUUAAUCUUACCAAGCUUUCUAAAUCAUAUCCAUUUAGAAAUUCUGAGAAUCGAGAACAUUUGUCUUGUUUAAAUAAUGAAUUCCAAAUAAUUUUUGAAAAUAAGGAUCCAAAUUCUAUUUAAAUUUAAUUUAAGGUAGACAGAGAUGCAGGACAGGUAAAUUUCCUUCUCUCUUAAAAUAUACGUUAAAUUAAAUUCAUUUCAAAUUCCAGGUGUAAGACAGAUAAGCCAUAGGUACACAAUGGAGAGCAUGAGGAAUACGGUCCAUGGUAUUGUAAUAAUUUUAUGUGGGGACAAAUAGCUAGGAGACUUAUCAUGGUGAUAAUUUUGUAAUGUAGGUCAAUGUCAUAUCAUUGUAAUAAACUUAAAGCUAACAUAAUAUUAUAUGUCAACUACAUGUCAAUAAAAAAUAAAUAAAUAAAUAGCAGUCCAUCUCUAUUUAUGACAAAAAUUCACAGAAACCAAGAGAGCCUCCUUAAUCUUACAAAGGACACCUAUAUACAUACAUACAUAAAUCCUGAAGCUAAUAUUAUAAAAAAGUAUUUUUGAUACUUUUAUUUGUAUCAUUACAAGUGAAAGAUUUUUUUAUAUGGUUGAGACUGACAUAACGUAAAGUUUGAAUUACGGCUACACAUUUUACUUGAACCUUGUGUUUAAAGGAUUUAGAUUUACUUUCUAAUUUACUCAUUUAUGGAUGGCCAGUUUGGCUUUAUCAAGAUAUUUUGAUAUGUCCUCAUUUGGUCUUCCUCGUACGCAUGCUUGAUACAAAGAACAGAACAGAAGCACAGCUAAAACUAAUAAUAGCAAUUUCCCCACCUCACUUGCCACUCUCAGUUGGGUCCGCUUGCAUUUAUUGGUAAGAUUCUGCAAAAGAGUAGCCACAUCUGCACUAUCUCAGAGAAGAGCCCUGCGGUGCAGUAUUAAAGCCUGCUGGGUGCCCACACUAGUCUACAUAUUAAAUGCAUUGAUGACCUCUUUUGAAAUAAAAUGAAAAUUAUGAGAACAGACUUUGAACUCUUCACAUUAAAGGGGUUUUCUUUCCCUACAAAAUAAAUGCCGUAUUUAGUUGGAAGAAAAUAAAGCAGAACUUUGAAAGAAUUGCGAACAUAAGAUACAACAGGGGAAAAGAAGAUUUGACGGCCUAGGUGACAGGGAAGUUCUCUUUUUUAUGCAGUCCUCUGGCUAUGUUCACGCUGGAAUAGUCAGCUAGAUAAUUGUCCUUAGGCUAUAAGCAUUCAUACAAAUAUUUUAAAUAAAAGAUAUUAGCUUUCUUCACUCAUGGCAAUAUCUAAGUUUACCACUCAAGGAUAAAUUUAAAAAAAAAUGUUUCUACAAGAAAAGGCCAUUUUGUUUUAUUAUUCCUCAGAGGCUCUGUCUGUAAAAUGGCACUAGAAUACAGUUAUUCCUCUAAUGUGGUGGUUCUUAAGAUGUAGUGAUUCCCAUACACAUUUAAAUACAUAGUGAAAUGCAAAGGCUUCUAUUCCCUUUAAAUUGUUUGAAUAAACAUAUGUACAUACUACCUGGAACUUCUUCAGGGCCUUCCAAGUUCAGAACCCCAGCCCUGUAGAGUCUUAGCAAUUGGAAGCAUCUUGGAGAUAUGCCAUUUUUCUGCCACAAAUUAAGGAGGACCCACAAACUGAAACUGUGUAGGAAGAGGGAAUUGCCUUUCUACCACUGCCCAGGAUUAGGUUUCCCUAGCAACUAUCUUGCAGUCCACUCUAGCCACCUGCUUCUGGAACAAUUGUUUCAUUCAAGUUUGAUGUAAACACCUAAAGAUGCUGAUGUAGGUGGGGGAAAGGUAAGGCUGUCAAUGUGUGAGAGUCACUCGACAUCUGAGGAAAGAAUGUCUUUCCUUAUAAUUUCCAGUCAUCAAUGGAUAUUCUUGUUAAUAACUAUUCGUGUGGGCCUGUGUAGUGUACACUUAACGAAAUGCUUGUAUUAAGCCAACAGCAUUAUUAUUCAAAUUAGCAUAUAUUUCCCUAUACAUUCACUACAAAAGAGCCACAAUAUAGUAUGCAUUUUCAUCACUCAGGUACAUUUUUGGUAAAAUAUCAUGGGUUAAUUUGUACUCUAAACUUUUAUCCAAAUAUUGUUUCGUAGACAUACUACAAAUUUAACUAACAAAUGAAAAUAACCAAAAUAAACAAUCAACAUACAUAUUAUGAGAAGAUAGGUAUGCAAUAGUUUUAAACAUCUCCUAAUCUGACACUUUGCCAAUUUGCUUCCUAUUAGAAACACCUGGGAGUUGAAAAAACUCACAAUGCCCCAGGAAUAUCUCAUACCAAUUAAAUCAAAAUGUCUUGCAACAAGAGCUAGACACAAGUAGGUAUUUAAAAAAAAAAUUUAGUAAAUAUUUUAUUUAGGAUUUCUGUAUCUAUGUUUACAAUUGAAAUGGGCCCAUUUUAAUUGAAUAUAUUUGACAUAUAAAAUCGUGUAAUUUUAAGGUGUACAAAGUGUUAAUCUGGUAUGUUUAAAUGUUGCAAUAUGAUUGCUACUGUAGUAAUAUUUAGCAUGUCUAUUACAUUACAUAAUUAUCCUUCUUUGUUAGUGGUUGGGGUAAGUAAUUUUCAGUCUCUUAGCAAGUCUGAUGAUGGUUGUCUAUUUUCCUUAUGCCGUGCAUUAGAUCCCUAUGACUUAUUUACUACUUACUAUAAAUUUGUACCUUUAAAGACAUCAUUCUUAAUCCUUCUACCCUCUAUCCCUUAGCAUAAUGUGCUCGAGUUUCAUCCAUGUUGUCACAAAUGGCAGAAUAUUUUUCUUUCUCAUGACUUACUAUUUCAUUGUAUAUGUACACACCACAUCUUUUUAUCAAUUCUUCUGUUGAUGGGCAUUUGUUUCCAUAUAUUUGCUAUUGUAAGAAAAAAAAAUUUUGCAAUAAACACGAGAGGGCAUAUAUCUCUUCAGGAAAGGGCAUAUAUAUCUGUAUUGGGUAGAUACUCAAAAAUACAAUUGUCGGAUGAUACGGUAGAUCCAUUUUUAAUUUUUUGAGGAACCUCCGUUUUGUUUUCCAUAGUGGUAGGAUAAAUUUACAUUCCCAACAAAAAUGUGUAAGGGUUUCCUUUUCUCCACAUUCUCCCCAGAACCUAUUGUUUCUUGUCUUCUUGACAACAGCCAUUCUAACAGGUAAGAAGUGAUAGCUCAUUGUGGCUUAUAUUUGCAUUUCUCUGGUGAUUUGUGAUGUCAAGCAUUUUUUCAGGUGCCUGCUGGUUAUUUUGAUGUCCUCUUUGGAAAAAUGUCUAUUUAGUUCUCUGCCCAUUUUUUAAUCGGAUUAUUUUUCUGUUAUUAUCUAAAUUGUAUGAGUUCUUUAUAUAUUUUAGAUAUAAUCCCUUAUCUGACACAUAGUUUGGAAAGUUUUUCUCCCAUUCCAUACAUUGUCUUUUCAUGUUAUUAAUUUUUUCUUUUGCUAUGCGGAAACUUUUGAGUUUGCUUUUAUAGUUCAGGCAUCGGUAGUUUUUAAAGAUCUCUGUUUAAACUAAUGUGAAACAAAAUUUGGAAACACUGCCCUAAAUCUCUGUUCAAAGUGUAGUCCUUGUGUCAGCAGCAUUGAAUCACCUGAGAGAUUUCUAGAAAUGCAGAAACCUUGGCCCUACC
rnacentral:lncRNA from 1 species